AAGAACUAGGUCUGGCAUAGAUCAGUCUACCUGUUGGAGAAAACCAGAAAUAGGAAAGAGAGUUAUUAAUGGUUCAUUCUUAGCUGAGAAAAAUUCAGUGUGGAAUAAUUAAGAACUACUAUCAAUGCCUCUUACAAAAUGAGGUAAUUGGAUUGCAGAGUUGGCCUUCAAGAAGAUUUUGUGGCCUUUCUCAGCUGUCUAGGUGCUGUGUUUCUAUGGCUGCAAGGAUGAUGAUUAUGAUAUGGAUGGAUGAUGGAAGGAAGGAUCUAUGAAUUUAAUAUUUGAGUUUCAGUUACUGGACUUUACUUCUUCCAGAAAGUCAGGCCAAAAGAACAAAGUCCUAGAAGGUCUUCUGGUGAGUCACAUUCUGAGCAGGAAAUCUGGCAUUGAGGCAUAAUUAACAUUCAGGUUGCCCCCAGUUUCUAUGGAGAUGAGUCUAGCCCCUCGGGGGAGUAGUGAUGGAUGUGUAAUCUCCAAGAUAAGUAACUGACAGGCUGUAUUCUAGGUACUCAAAAUGAAAGAAAAAUAGGAUAUGUUUCUUACUUUAGAGACCAUAGAAACUAUUCUCCUAUAUUGAACCUUCUUGGUAAGAGCCCCAUCCCUUCAAAGGCCAUAUUAAUCUGAAGGCCAAUAUUGAAGUUCUAUGCUGUUACUUGUCAACUUGGAUGCAGCGAGUCAUCUGACCUGACCUGUGGACACAGCCUCUGCAUCUGUUGAAAGGACUAAAGAAGUCUAAUUCACAGAGUUACUGCAAGGAUAAUAGAACUGAGAGGACUGUGUGAGCAAUAGCACCAAUGUAAGAGUUAUCAUAGAUUUACACACUACUGGUUCUGAUGCAGCACAUAAGACAAGUACCAUGGGAAUGCAGAAGAGAAAGCAAUUAGGGAGAUCAACAAGGUUUCACAAAGCAGCUAUGGUGAACUUGGCCUUGAGGGUAGGGUUUUCCUGGUGAAGAAAAACAUUCUAGGCAGAAGAAAUAGCAUACACAAAGACUCAGAGGCACCUAAGAGUCCUGUGUGUUUAGUGAAUAAUGAACAGAAAUUGCCAUAGAUUUGGUGAUAAGUCAUUGGUGUUAAUUGAUAGGUUCGGUAGAAGCCAAUUCUUGAAGGGUUUUGUAUGCCAUAGUAAAGGAUUGAGCUUUAUUUAAGGAGCCACUGAAAAGCUUCAUUCAUUCUACAGAUAACUUUUUUGGUGAGCCAAUGUGUGCCAAGCAUGGUUGUAAGUACCUGUAGUGCAUCAGAAUAAUAAUAAAAAAGAAUAUUCACGUACCCACCACCCAAUUUAAAAACUAAGAAGUUUUCAAUCCUUAUGUAAGUCUCUGUGUUUCCCUUGUCAAUGAAAUCCUUCUCCUUGCUCCCCAAAAGUAACCCAAACGCUAAGUUUUGUGUUUGUCAUUUUCUUGUUUUUCAUUUCAGUUUUACUCAUAUGUGAGGAAAGGAGCUUAAGAAAUAUUUGCUCAGCUGAUAAAUAAAAAUAAAAAUAUAUGCCCCUGUGUGGGUGGUCCCCAGUGCCCUUUCUCACAGAUACUGCUUCUACUUCUGCCGUCAUUAUAAUUCCAGUGCUCUCAACCAGUCUUCCAUCCUCAGUUUUCUUGACUUAUAUGCUGGUGUCUAUUUGUAUGAAAUUGUUCUAUCUACUGUUGAAGUAACUUUAUACAAAUUACUCUCAGAAUCCCUAUUCUUUGACAUAGCACCUAUUUAUAAUUUUUAUCUCCUCUUUCUAUCUUUAUCCACACAUAAGUGGAAUAAUCACAGUUGUAGAUAUUUUAUGUUUUGUGCUUCAGUUUUUCACUUUGUACUGUUCUGUAGUUUUUGUAUUUCUAGAUAGUCUUUGUAUUAAUUAUUUUU